UGGGGAAUUUUCCGCAAUGGGUGAAAGCCUGACGGAGCAACGCCGCGUGAGGGACGAAGGCCUCUGGGCUGUAAACCUCUUUUCUCAAGGAAGAAGAUAUGACGGUACUUGAGGAGUAAGCCACGGCUAAUUCCGUGCCAGCAGCCGCGGUAAUACGGGAGUGGCAAGCGUUAUCCGGAAUUAUUGGGCGUAAAGCGUCCGCAGGCGGCUUUUCAAGUCUGCUGUUAAAGCGUGGAGCUUAACUCCAUCAUGGCAGUGGAAACUGAAAGGCUUGAGUAUGGUAGGGGCAGAGGGAAUUCCCGGUGUAGCGGUGAAAUGCGUAGAUAUCGGGAAGAACACCAGUGGCGAAGGCGCUCUGCUGGGCCAUUACUGACGCUCAUGGACGAAAGCCAGGGGAGCGAAAGGGAUUAGAUACCCCUGUAGU
rnacentral:rRNA from 1 species